rnacentral:pre_miRNA from 10 species
GGGGAGCCUGGUCAACUUGGCCCAGACCUCAGCUAUAUAGCUGAUGGGCUGAGUCAGAGGGCCGAGGCUCU